rnacentral:rRNA from 1 species
CUGGCCCUUGGGUCCGAGUUGUAAUUUGCAGAGGAUGCUUUUGGUGCGGUGCCUUCCGAGUUCCCUGGAACGGGACGCCUUAGAGGGUGAGAGCCCCGUACGGUUGGACACCAAGCCUAUGUAAAGCUCCUUCGACGAGUCGAGUAGUUUGGGAAUGCUGCUCAAAAUGGGAGGUAUAUUUCUUCUAAAGCUAAAUAUUGGCCAGAGACCGAUAGCGCACAAGUAGAGUGAUCGAAAGAUGAAAAGCACUUUGAAAAGAGGGUUAAAUAGCACGUGAAAUUGUUGAAAGGGAAGGAUUUAUGACCAGACUUUUUCUAGGGGGAUCAUCCGGUGUUCUCACCGGUGCACUUCCCCUAGUUGAGGCCAGCAUCGGUUUCUGUCGAGGGAUAAAAGCUUCAGGAAUGUGGCUCCCUCCGGGGAGUGUUAUAGCCUGUUGCAUAAUACCUUGACGGGGACCGAGGUUCGCGCAUUGCAAGGAUGCUGGCGUAAUGGUUAUUAAUCACCCGUCUUGAAACACGGACCAAGGAGUCGAACAUUUGUGCGAGUGUUUGGGUGUUAAACCCUCACGCGUAAUGAAAGUGAACGGAGGUGAGAGCCUUUAGGGGUGCAUCAUCGACCGAUCCUGAUGUCUUCGGAUGGAUUUGAGUAAGAGCAUUAAUGUUCGGACCCGAAAGAUGGUGAACUAUGCGUGGAUAGGGUGAAGCCAGAGGAAACUCUGGUGGAGGCUCGCAGCGGUUCUGACGUGCAAAUCGAUCGUCAAAUCUGCGCAUGGGGGCGAAAGACUAAUCGAACCAUCUAGUAGCUGGUUACCGCCGAAGUUUCCCUCAGGAUAGCAGUGUUGUGUUCAGUUUUAUGAGGUAAAGCGAAUGAUUAGGGACUCGGGGGCUAUUUAUUGCCUUCAUCCAUUCUCAAACUUUAAAUAUGUAAGAAGCCCU